GAUGAACGCUGGCGGCGUGCCUAAUACAUGCAAGUCGAGCGAAUGGAUUAAGAGCUUGCUCUUAUGUAGUUAGCGGCGGACGGGUGAGUAACACGUGGGUAACCUGCCCAUAAGACUGGGAUAACUCCGGGAAACCGGGGCUAAUACCGGAUAACAUUUUGAACCGCAUGGUUCGAAAUUGAAAGGCGGCUUCGGCUGUCACUUAUGGAUGGACCCGCGUCGCAUUAGCUAGUUGGUGAGGUAACGGCUCACCAAGGCAACGAUGCGUAGCCGACCUGAGAGGGUGAUCGGCCACACUGGGACUGAGACACGGCCCAGACUCCUACGGGAGGCAGCAGUAGGGAAUCUUCCGCAAUGGACGAAAGUCUGACGGAGCAACGCCGCGUGAGUGAUGAAGGCUUUCGGGUCGUAAAACUCUGUUGUUAGGGAAGAACAAGUGCUAGUUGAAUAAGCUGGCACCUUGACGGUAUCUAACCCGAAAGCCACGGCUAACUACGUGCCAGCCGCCGCUGUAA
rnacentral:rRNA from 1 species